AUAAUAAUUAGUCUUUUAAUUGGGGGCUUGUAUGAAUGAUUGGAUGAGAUAUAAACUGUCUUAAAAUAAAUAUUUAUUUAAUUUAAUUUUUAAGUUAAAAAGCUUAAAUAUUUUUAAAGGACGAGAAGACCCUAUAGAGUUUUAUAAAAUUAUUAUUAUAAAAUUUUAAGUUUUUUUUUAUAUUGAUAAUAUUUAUUUUGUUGGGGCGAUGAAAAAAUUUAAUAAACUUUUUUAUUUUAAUAUACAUUUAUUAAUGAUUUUUUGAUCCUUAUUUUAAGAUUAAUAGAAUAAAUUACCUUAGGGAUAACAGCGUUAUUUUUUUUAGAGUUCUUAUCAAUAAAAGAGAUUGC
rnacentral:rRNA from 1 species